AUUUUUGUGAAAUUCCUUGCUUUAAUAUCUUAACUUUAAGAAUCACAUCUGCCAUGUAGAUUCGGUCAACACAAGAAGCCACAGACAUUUUUUUAGAAGGUCAGAUUCGGCCUCUGUAUCAAGGAUUCAGAUCCGUUGAACGGAUACUUUCUUUUUCCUCUCAACAAAAUUUCUCAAACAGCUUUUGAAAUUCAAACGGCCAGUGAUUCAUAAAAGUCCCGCCCAAGCCAAGAAACCUAAUACUUUCGCCUAUAAAUACUCACUUUUGGAUCCAUUUUAGGGGGACUCCGGGCCGCCACUCGAUGACUCCUAAAAGCUACUGCUCUCAUUCGUUCUUAUAAUUUUGCCUUGCCAAAAAUCUUCUCUUUUCUUUUGUCUCUUGAUUGUGUUGGUUUUAAAUACAAGUACUGCAUUUUGUUGCCUAUUGCAUCGUUUAACAAUCAUUUGAGUUAGCAAGUUUGAGGUCGGAGUUCGGUAGAUCCAAAGCCAACGCCUCAGUUCGCUGCCCUAAAAUAGUUAUAAAGAGUCUCAAAGUGAGAAUCUCCACCACCAUCACAUGGAGUCAGUCACAUUCCAUCUACUAGAGUUACCGGAUAGCAAGAAAGAAACAAGUGAAACGCUUGGGGCGCCACUUUUGCUAUUCUUUUUAUCUAUCUUUAUUAUUAUUAAUUUAUUUCUAUAUUUGGAGUUUAUUUUAGUUUGGGGUUCUAGUACUUAUAUAAUCUUUAGGAAUUUAAGAUCACUAAUUUAAUAACCUUUUCAUCAA